rnacentral:lncRNA from 1 species
GGGCAGUUGCCUUGAGAGGCCCACCGCCUGCUGGCAUGACAGAUGGUCAGUUCUUCCGAGCAGUGGAAUCUCCAUGGAGUCGUGGAGUCGGUGUGGCCUCGCAUCCACAGUGCACCCCGUGCUGGUGGAUGGCUCAGGACGGGGCAGUUGCCGUGGGAGGCCUGCCGUCUGCUGAAAGGAAGAUGGUUGAUGCUUCUGAGCAAUGAAGGCCCCAUGGAGUCCUGGAUUCGGUGUGGCCUUGCAUCCGUGGUGCACCCCAUGCUGGUGGAUGGCUCAGGACGGGGCAGUUGCCAUGGGAGGCGCAGGCCUGCUGGAAGGAAGAUGGUCGAUUCUCCCAAGCAACAAAGGCCACGUAGAGUCCUGGUUUCAGUGUGGCCUGGUAUCCACAGUGCACCCCGUGCUGGUGGGUGGCUCAGGACGCACACUCAUUUCCUCUGCACCUUCCCGGUGUCAUUGGCAUGGAAGGAAGGCCCUUGUCCAAGAAGGAUGGUCUUCGUCUUGUGUGAUCUUUGA